CCAGACUCCUACGGGAGGCAGCAGUGGGGAAUAUUGCACAAUGGGGGGAACCCUGAUGCAGCGACGCCGCGUGAGUGAAGAAGUAUUUCGGUAUGUAAACUUCUAUCAGCAGGGAAGAAAAUGACGGUACCUGACUAAGAAGCCCCGGCUAACUACGUGCCAGCAGCCGCGGUAAUACGUAGGGGGCAAGCGUUAUCCGGAUUUACUGGGUGUAAAGGGAGCGUAGACGGCAUGGCAAGUCUGAUGUGAAAACCCGGGGCUCAACCCCGGGACUGCAUUGGAAACUGUCAGGCUAGAGUGUCGGAGAGGCAAGUGGAAUUCCUAGUGUAGCGGUGAAAUGCGUAGAUAUUAGGAGGAACACCAGUGGCGAAGGCGGCCUGCUGGACGAUGACUGACGUUGAGGCUCGAAAGCGUGGGGAGCAAACAGGAUUAGAUACCCGUGUAAA
rnacentral:rRNA from 1 species